ACUCAAAGGAAUAGACGGGGGCCCGCACAAGCAGUGGAGUAUGUGGUUUAAUUCGACGAUACGCGAAGAACCUUACCAGGGCUUGACAUCCUACUAACGAAGCAGAAAUGCAUUAGGUGCCCUUCGGGGAAAGUAGAGACAGGUGGUGCAUGGUUGUCGUCAGCUCGUGUCGUGAGAUGUUGGGUUAAGUCCCGCAACGAGCGCAACCCUUACGGUCAGUUGCUACGCAAGAGCACUCUGACUGGACUGCCGUUGACAAAACGGAGGAAGGUGGGGACGAUGUCAAAUCAUCAUGCCCCUUACGUCCUGGGCUACACACGUACUACAAUGGUCGCUUACAAUGGGUUACCAAGGCGCGAGCCGGAGUUAAUCCCCAAAAGCGAUCUCAGUUCAAACUGCAGGCUGCAACUCGCCUGCACGAAGGCGGAAUUGCUAGUAAUCGCGGAUCAGCAUGCCGCGGUGAAUACGUUCCCGGGCCUUGCACACACCGCCCGU
rnacentral:rRNA from 1 species